rnacentral:tRNA from 1 species
GGGGAUUUAGCUCAGUGGUAGAGCGCUUGCUAGGCAAGCGUCCUGGGUUCGGUCCCCAGCUUCG